ensembl:lncRNA
UUUAAGAGCACUGAACGUGUGAAACGGGCAGCUGCUAACGAGGAGGAGCAUGAGCCAAACUGGCCAAGAUAUGACGUAAAGGUCGUCAGAACUUGUGACAACUACAAAGACGCCAUCAGGCUAAUGAAUCAAUAUCAGACCGGCUGCAACGCCUCUGAGCUACAGUCUGAGGCAGAGCAGGAGGGAUAGCUGCCAGAGAAACGAGUCAGGAAGCCAAUCCAUCGUUUUGGGGACUGAUGAGAGUGAAGAAGAGCCAGAAAAUUGUGACUUAGCUUCUCUGAGGUCGCCACGACCUUCCAACUCGGCUGGUGUAUCAGUUGGAGCCUCAAGCCCAAACCAAUUACACUGGC